GACGAACGCUGGCGGCGUGCUUAACACAUGCAAGUCGAACGGAAAGGCCCAGCUUGUGUCGGGUGCUAGCGUGGCGAACGUGUGAGUUACAUGUGAGUAACCCGCCCUUGAGUUUGGGAUAACUUCAGGCAACUGGGGCUAAUACCGGCUACGUGCUCCUGCUGGUGGGUGGGGGUCGGACAUCUUCGGGGGUAGUGGGUGGACGGCCGGGUUAUUAGCUUGUGGGUGGGGGAGUGGCCUACCGAGGCUUUGGUGGGUAGCCGGCCUGAGUGGGUGACCGACGACAUUGGGACUGAGGGACGCACCAGACGCGUACGGGAGGCAGCAGGGGAGAGUAUUGCACAAUGGGCGGAAGCGUGAUGCAGCGACGCCGGGUGCGGGAUGACGGCCUUCUUGGUGUGAACCGCUUUCGGCUGUGACGUAGCUGGUGUGACGUUAAUGGGAGAAGAAGCACCGGCUAACUACGUG
rnacentral:rRNA from 1 species